AGUGAACGCUGGCGGUAGGCCUAACACAUGCAAGUCGAACGGCAGCACAGUAAGAGCUUGCUCUUACGGGUGGCGAGUGGCGGACGGGUGAGGAAUACAUCGGAAUCUACUUUUUCGUGGGGGAUAACGUAGGGAAACUUACGCUAAUACCGCAUACGACCUACGGGUGAAAGCAGGGGAUCUUCGGACCUUGCGCGAUUGAAUGAGCCGAUGUCGGAUUAGCUAGUUGGCGGGGUAAAGGCCCACCAAGGCGACGAUCCGUAGCUGGUCUGAGAGGAUGAUCAGCCACACUGGAACUGAGACACGGUCCAGACUCCUACGGGAGGCAGCAGUGGGGAAUAUUGGACAAUGGGCGCAAGCCUGAUCCGGCCAUACCGCGUGGGUGAAGAAGGCCUUCGGGUUGUAAAGCCAUUUUGUUGGGAAAGAAAAGCAGCAGGUUAAUACCCCGCUGUUCUGACGGUACCCAAAGAAUAAGCACCGGCUAACUUCGUG
rnacentral:rRNA from 1 species